UCAGGCCAAAAGUGGUCAGCAAAGCCCUGACAGAACUCGGAAAAAAAAAAUCACGGAGGUCAAAGUCCCAGAUGCCAAGUUUAGAAAAUAAAAAAUAGUCAGUGCCAGGGAGCACACUGACAGCAGAGUUUUGAAGAGGUAGGAGCCAAAGGGAUCCCCUGGCCCACAGGCCCUGUCAAAUCAUGGGUGGAAUGUGGAAAAGGGAAAGGAAUAUGAGACCUGCACCUUCCUUUCCCAUUGUGGGUGUGCUACAAUUUGAAGGAAGCCAAUCACUUAUCCAUCUAAUUUAUGGAAGAUCUUGAUGUGAAGGGCUCUUUGUAGAUCCCAUCAGAGCUACCCAGCCAUUCUGACACAUGUGAGUUGACAUCUCAUUGUGCUUUCGACCUGCAUUUCCCUGAUGAUUAGCUAUGUUGAACAUCUUUUCACAUAUGCCUGUUGGCCAUCUGCGUAUUGCAACCUGCAUCCGCCCUCCUUCGGCAGGAAUUCCUGUCCUAAUUUCCUCAUCUGUAAAAUGAAGAGGUUAAAUGCAAUGAUCUCUAAAGUGCCUUGAAGACCUCACUUACAAUCAUUCCUUUGAUGCUGCCUUUGACUGGCCCUGGUGAGCAACCCUCAGCUGCGUUCCUGGCUCCUUGACACAGCAGUUCACCCGAAAAGAUUGGUGUGUUCUUCCAAGUAGUGCUUGCCCUGAGCCUAACCACCAGAAAGCUACUGUUUCUCUGAUUAUUUCAUCACACAGAGGAGCUGCUCCAAGCCUUGGCAGGGUUAUUGAGAAUAUGCAGAUAUGCUUGUAAAUGAGCACAGAUAUAAAGGACAAACUCUGAAAUGGAUAUGCUGGAGAGGCUGGGUUCUAAGGAGCUAGACAUUCACGUGUCCCACCAGACUGUAGAGACUCAUGGGUGUGGUGAUCAAAUCAAGAAGAAACUUACUAAAGGACUUAUCCCUAAAGAAUGUCACAUCAGGGUAAGUUUCUCAUACAAUGUUUUUUAAAAAAAGAACUCUA